rnacentral:rRNA from 1 species
ACUCAAAGGAAUAGACGGGGGCCCGCACAAGCGGCGGAGCAUGUUGCUUAAUUCGACGCAACGCGAAGAACCUUACCAAGGUUUGACAUUGCCCGAAAACCUGCAGAGAUGUGGGGUCCCUUUGGGGCGGGUGACAGGUGGUGCAUGGCUGUCGUCAGCUCGUGUCGUGAGAUGUUGGGUUAAGUCCCGCAACGAGCGCAACCCUCGUUCCAUGUUGCCAGCGACGCUCCUUUCGGGGGGUGGUCGGGGACUCAUGGGAGACUGCCGGGGUCAACUCGGAGGAAGGUGGGGAUGACGUCAAGUCAUCAUGCCCCUUAUGUCUUGGGCUGCAAACAUGCUACAAUGGCCGGUACAGAGGGCGGCGAUGCCGUGAGGCGGAGCGAAUCCCUAAAAGCCGGUCUCAGUUCGGAUUGGGGUCUGCAACUCGACCCUAUGAAGUCGGAGUCGCUAGUAAUCGCAGAUCAGCAAUGCUGCGGUGAAUACGUUCCCGGGCCUUGCACACACCGCCCGU